UAAUACGUAGGGGGCGAGCGUUGUCCGGAUUUAUUGGGCGUAAAGAGCUCGUAGGCGGUUCGGUAAGUCGGCUGUGAAAUCUCCACGCUCAACGUGGAGGGGUCAGUCGAAACUGCCGUGACUCGAGUCCGGUAGAGGAGUGUGGAAUUCCCGGUGUAGCGGUGAAAUGCGCAGAGAUCGGGAGGAACACCCGUAGCGAAGGCGGCACUCUGGGCCGGUACUGACGCUGAGGAGCGAAAGCGUGGGGAGCAAACAGGA
rnacentral:rRNA from 1 species